UUUUUCUUUUUGGCUGUGCUGUGCAACACGUGAGAUCUUAGUUCCCUCACCAGGGAUCGAACCCAUGCUCCUGCAGUGGAAGCAUGGAGUCUUAACCACUGGACCACCGGUCCCUGGGCAUCUGCAGUGCAAUCCCAACUUUCUCUGUAUAUUAGUAGAUUUGCCAAGUUCUACUAAUUCUACCAAGACCCGGCUACAUCCCUGGGUGAGGAUGGACAACAUUCAUGAUAGUGACUUAGCAUCCCACCAGGGAAGCGUCCAGUAAGUGACCAUGUUUUAUACGAUCCCUGGAUCGUAUAGAAUCCCUGGAUCAAAUGUGCUCUCAGUGUGACCCUCACACCAUGUAGCAGCUAAUCCUUCACCUCAAAGUUCGUCAGAGAAAAUAAACUGGAGGUUGUGGUUCUGACUUCUUAGGGAUGACCACUAAGUUGUUCAAAAAGCAAGUGAUUCCAGCAGAGGUGAGCAAAUGGCCUAUUCAGUUUUUCACUACAAUGCAGGAUAAGAAUGAUCAGAACUGAAGGCACCUUACAUCUCAUACACUGCAGCCAUAUCUCACCCCUGGCUCUUUCCACCACAUCCCAGACCAUUGUUGGCUCCGCUGCGUAGAAAGUAGUUUGUAGGGAAUUCAGAAGAUACAGAGAGCAGAUCCGUCCAGUGAGAAACGUGUCGCCAAAAACAAAGACCAUCAAAACUGCAAAGAGAAUGUAUCUGCUACCCAGACUGGAAUCUCUCUGACGGAUCCCUCGAAGCUGUCUACACAGGGGGAAAGGAGCUUUCUCUGCAUGGAGGAGAAUUCCUCACGGUUGCCACCUCUCCAGGGCUGCUGCUCACAGGGACUCUGGCUGGAAGGUUGAGAGAGGAUGGUCCUGUGGGAUCUAGAGACGGAAAACUGGAUUCAAGCUUUCGUGGGUGUCCCCGCAUGCCUGAGCUGUGGUUUCCUGAUGGGCAACUAGGACGCCUUCCGAGAUACUGUAACUGCCACUGGAGAGGAAAAGCUAACUGCAUGGUGACCAGACUGCAGCCAUGACAUAAGCUACUCCAUCUUGAGCAGUACUGAGUCUGUGGCUAUAGCACAAUUCCAGGAACUGGUCUCAAGAGAAUGGGAUUAACAUGAUUGCUCAUAGUAAUCUAUAUUUUUGUGGGCAUCAAACUAAUUGUAGCUUGCUCUGCCCGUGUCUGUAAGCGGGCAACCAAAAUUGUCAGCCCAGAGAUGCUACAGACCCAUGUUGACAUCUUCCGCUCUGAGAAUACGGCAUCCUAUUCAGCAUGAAGAAGUGACAGAAGAUGGACUUUUGCCCAUCAGUUACAGAAGGCGGACUUUUGCCCAUAACCCUUUAGAGCUGGAGUGAUGUCUGACAAGUGGGGAUUUGUUAAGCAGCUCUUUUGCCCCUUUCCUGUGUCCCCUUUUCUGUUCCUCUCUAACCUUACAAAGAACCUAAUUAUAGGAAUGAGAUCACUAAGCAAUUGAAACUAACUCCUGACAUGUGCUCUCCUCAAUGCCCACCAUGCCGUGUCUGACCUGUUGAUUCUUUCCCUAGAUAAAAAUAAGUAAGGAUGAAGAAGUAAGCAGUUAAAGGGUGACCAGCUCUCUGCCCCAACAGACCCUCGGCAAUCCUGCAGACCACUUGGGCAAGAUGACAUCUGGGGCUUCCCUGGUGGCAUAGUGGUUGAGAGUCCGCCUGCCGAUGCGGGGGACACGGGUUCGUGCCUCGGUCCGGGAAGAUCCCACGUGCCGCGGAGCGGCUGGGCCCAUGAGCCAUGGUUGCUGAGCCUGCGCAUCCGGAGCCUGUGCUCCGCAACGGGAGAGGCCACAACAGUGAGAGGCCCGCGUACCGCAAAAAAAAAAAAAGAUGACCUCUGAAGAGUCAUCCAGUCUGCACGCAAUGGAGAAGGAUGCAGAACCCAACCUCCUGACUCCAUAAUUCACUGAGAUUUCGCCCCUUCCCCCACCCCGGUUUUUUUUCCAUUUAAAACUGCCAUGGCUGAGCAGAGUCUCUGGAAUUGGUCUCUGGACACGAGUCCACCUUCUCCCCAGAUGGCUGGCUUUUCUGAUUAAAGCACCUUUCCUUUCUACUGGCAAUUGCCUCUCGAAUUACCGGCUUAGGAGCCGCCAGCAGCCGAAUGUGGGUUCCAUAACACAACUUCCUAAGUGCGUGUGAAAUAUUCAUGAAAUUUAAUCAUAUGUUUGUUCACAAGGAAAGCAUUGUGUUCCAUAUGGUAGACAUGUGACAAUCACUCUAUGGUCAAAUGUAAAAAAAGCUAGAAAAUAAUGACAACGUU